rnacentral:lncRNA from 1 species
GGGGUUUGCCUCUUUAUUUAUAGCCUGGUGUGGUGAACAUGCACCGUUUGAUCAAACUGACCUAACACAUAGCUGAGAUGCAUCAUAGGAGGCGGUGGAAGCAGUCUCCAGAAGGCAGCGCGCGGGACAUUGACCUAGGGCGUCGGCCGACGCCUAGUGGGGCCGGCCGGCCCCACUGGGUCUCUGUGCGGGUCCUGUCUUCUCUCGAAUGUUUCAGAGCCUUCCCUGAUCCUAAUGGCGCGUGAUUUCCUCGCGGUUAAGUUUUUUGAUUUUUGUGCACUUAAAACCCUCUUUUACGCUUCUCUAGAAUAGUCCCUAGGAAAUAAAUAAUUCACCAAAACUCGUGGAAAUUAUUAGUAACAACCCUAUUCUAAUUGAUAUUCAUAUAUAAUGCAGGGAUAAUUGAUAAUAAAUUUUGGUUGUUAACAAGUCUCAACAGAUAACAUAUGAUUAUGACAUCUUAAGAUAUUAGCAAACACAAAGCUUUACUCAAGACAUAUCUCACGCAACUGGGUUAUGUGGUACUUUCUAGCAUAUAUCAUUCAGAUGUUAAAAAAUGGAACAGUUCUUCCUAUUUUCAUAUUCUUAGCACUUAGAGUUUUUCAUAAUGGUUUUCAAAAACAAAGCACAUAGAUCAUUCUUACUCGUCAAAUAGUACUCCCUAGUCACUUAGUAAGGCAUGGCAUAAGAUUGCCUUCUUUUGUUUCAUCCUACAUCUAUAGGCUUAUGUGGGGCUCAGGUAGGGAUAAAAUAGAUAGCAUACUUUCAUUGCAUAUAUUAUAAAGUCAAAACAAGGAUCUAAGGAGAAGAUUGUCAUAAUCUUAGAUCAAGAUGUACAAGUGUGUGGAAAAUGAUGGAGUAGAAUGCUCAUCUAUUUGAUAAGAUCUCUCUCUAUUUUAUUUGAGACAUGGCUAACAUUUUUUUAAAUAAAUGGCAUGUGUCCAAUUUUUUUAAGUAAUGGACCUUCAUGUGUCCACUUUCUUUUUUUUUCUUUUUUAUAGCCUUUGUGUCUAAUCUACUAAGCAAUACAUAGAGAGAUAUUCUAAAACUUUAAAGCAUGGAGCAUCUAUAUGGUGGAGAUGGAUGGCUUGUUUUUGCGUACUUCCAGUUGUUGACACCGUUUUUGGAUACGUACCCAGGAUCGGUAGAAUGUAGAUCGGCAAGAAAAAGGCAAUAGUGAUUGGUCUGCAGGAGAGUUGCUGAUAAGGGUGGUUGCCGAUGAGGAGACAGCUGAAUGUGGCUAAGCCCAUGGGUGGUGAUGUGUUUAUGACGAUGGCCAGUAUUAAUCGUUGCCGAUGGGGAGUCUGCCGAUGACGUGGAAGGAAGACUUGGAGGUUGCCAAUUAGUCCGUGGUGGUGUCCCAGCUUGUCACGACAGGAUUGUUUUAUGUUUUCCUUAGUUAUUUAAAUCGUUUUGUAUACGGAUUCUGUUUAAAUUUGGAAUUCGAAUUCUAGUCGUGUCUGGUUGUAGUUCUUUGAGCAGGGUAUAAAUGUAGACCCUAGGGCCUUGUAAUACAUCUAUUAAUCAAUCAAACACAAGUUUUUACUCAUACUCCAGUACCUACUUUUUCGACGACUUCGUCAUACUUUUCCUUUUAUUACGAGUUCUUAGGAAUUCGUCGACUUAAGCUCGGCGUGUUCUCAAGUUCCGCGUGAAUACCUCUUGGCCGUGGCAUCCGGGCGCAUCGCUGUUGUCGGGACCAAAGUAUUCGAGUUAUCACCUUUGCCGAUAGUAAGGUCAAAUCGGCUGGCACGCCUUAACGUUUAAAUCGGGUAUUAGCCCUUUGUGUUUGCAGAUCAGCUUUUGCACCAACACAACUUUUGGCACGCCCAGUGGGACAGAUUCAAGAUCA